rnacentral:rRNA from 1 species
GAUGAACGCUGGCGGCGUGCCUAAUACAUGCAAGUCGAGCGGCAGCGAGUUCCGAUUUAUCGGAAUGUCGGCGAGCGGCGGACGGCUGAGUAACGCGUAGGAACGUACCCCAAAGUGAGGGAUAAGCACCAGAAAUGGUGUCUAAUACCGCAUGUGGUCUAAGGAUUAAAGCUUCGGUGCUUUGGGAACGGCCUGCGUCUGAUUAGCUUGUUGGUGAGGUAAAAGCNCACCAAGGCGAUGAUCAGUAGCUGGUCUGAGAGGAUGAUCAGCCAGACUGGGACUGAGACACGGCCCAGACUCCUACGGGAGGCAGCAGUAGGGAAUUUUCCACAAUGGGACGAAAGCCUGAUGGAGCAACGCCGCGUGCAGGAUGAAUG